rnacentral:rRNA from 1 species
GAUGAACGCUGGCGGCGUGCCUAAUACAUGCAAGUCGAGCGAACAGACGAGGAGCUUGCUCCUCUGACGUUAGCGGCGGACGGGUGAGUAACACGUGGAUAACCUACCUAUAAGACUGGGAUAACUUCGGGAAACCGGAGCUAAUACCGGAUAAUAUAUUGAACCGCAUGGUUCAAUAGUGAAAGACGCUUUUGCUGUCACUUAUAGAUGGAUCCGCGCCGCAUUAGCUAGUUGGUAAGGUAACGGCUUACCAAGGCAACGAUGCGUAGCCGACCUGAGAGGGUGAUCGGCCACACUGGAACUGAGACACGGUACAGACUCCUACGGGAGGCAGCAGUAGGGAAUCUUCCGCAAUGGGCGAAAGCCUGACGGAGCAACGCCGCGUGAGUGAUGAAGGUCUUCGGAUCGUAAAACUCUGUUAUUAGGGAAGAACAAAUGUGUAAGUAACUAUGCACGUCUUGACGGUACCUAAUCAGAAAGCCACGGCUAACUACGUG